rnacentral:lncRNA from 1 species
AACUUCAAGCAUGUUGGGCUCUCCAGGAGGGAGAAGAGGCACCUUUGCCGUGGGUUGAGGACUCCUAGAACCAACCUGAGACUCCGCGGCCAUAUACACCUUACGACGUGUGUGUGUGUGGCGGGAGAUGGGAGGGGAGGAAUCCUGUAGAACCCAGAUCCCAUCAUUCCAGCAACUGCCAGAGCGUUCGAGAAUGUCAUGUCUGUACCUGUCUUCUCUCAUCUUUUGUGCCAACUGUUUUAUCAAACUUCUACCCCACUUUAGGUCUUCCAGAGUACAACACAAAUAUACUGCCCAGGUUCUAAAACAUGUAUAAGAGUUAACAAAAUCAGCUGAGGUUGAGCAGAAAUUGUAUAGGAAAAAAUAGGAAAAACACAGAGACCAAUCUCAGCUGCAAGAAGGUUCAGCUAGACACUGCAAGCAAAAGUAUAACUCCUGAAGAUACAGGAAAAGACCUUAACUGAGGGAUGGUUUCCUGCUGUGUCCUCGGAACCCCAGGGCCUGGUUCAUAGAGACAAGUAAGCAGUGACUGAAGAAAGUUGCAAAUGUGAAGACCUAGAAUUUACCAGUGAAUGACAAUUUGAAUGUGAGAAGCUUAGAAAAAGAGAAGAUGGUGGUCAGCAAGGGAAGAAGAAAAAUAAAAACAUGUGAAAAAAUGAGAGGAAUGGAUAUAGGCAGAGGACCAAAUGGCAUCAAACUCACAGCAAAUAGGCUAGAUUCACCUAUUUCAAAAGGAAAUUCUUUCUAGCAUAAAGAAAAGACAAAUAUUUAAGGUGAUGAAUAUCUCAACUACACUAAUUUGAUCUUUGACUCAAAUUAUAUGAAUGUAUUAAAUUAUUACCUAUACCCUGAAACUAUGCGCAUCUAUUAUGCAUCAAUAAAUAAUUAUUUAAAAAAAUAGAAAUGCUAGAACCGAAAAACUCAAUAAAGAAAUUAAAAAAGAAAAUCAAGCUACUGAAGAGAUCCCUGGGCUGUGAUGGAAACAAAUAAAAUGGCUUAUUUCUAAGGGCACUCAACUAUUGAGUAAGUCUGAGCCGAAAGGUAUAAAGUACCUUUGGCAAAUAAUAAUAAUAAUAACCACAAAAAUAAGCUUCUUAGAUAGCCUAUUGCUUUGUGGUUAUAAUAAUUAUACACUCCACUGGAUAGCAAGCAAUCUACUUAUCUACACGUGUAAGUUUGACUUGAAGUUUCUUCUAUUUUUCAUCUGCUGGAGUAACUCAAUUACUAGGCCAUCUGUAUUUGCAAAUCUGCAAAGUGAAUGUUGUCAUCCAGUAGCCUUGCCACAUGUGUCCUGAGUACUUUUUACAUUCUUUAGCUUCCUUGAUUCACUUCAGCCACCCUAGAAAUUACUGAGUUUCAAAUUAGAUUAAGUCUCCCUGAGAAGUGAAAUAAAUAUUGGAUGGAGAGAAGGAAAGAAGAUUCAGAUGGGUGGGGAUGAAGAAUGAGCCGUGUGAAGGAAGCAUGUUUGCUAAUAAACCUCACGGAGGAUGACCUGAGUACACAA